UGUUUUAUACAUAAGUCGGAAAGUCUGAUACUGACAUAUGUAGAUACAGUGGGUCGCACACGUAGAUAGAUGAAUCAUUGUAGUCGACGACAGCCACCUGGCCUUCCCUUCGGACCGGAAAGCUCCAAGCGAUUAGGUGGUCGAGUUACACGAAGACUGCGACCAUACUCCAGUUGGUCUUCCUGUGUCUGUGACUCCUGCAUAGGUGGUGGAGUCUGUAAUCCUUGUUGCGAACAUGAUACGUAAUUGUAGGCGUAUGGUUGUUGUGACUCCUCGGGGAUAAACGAUGGGCCAAUAAUGUCCUCUCCGAAGAAUUCCGUAACUAAUGCAUUAAAAUUGUCGCCAUCAUCUUGUGAUGAUCCCUGUAUGCGUGUGUUGAGGCCAGGUUGGGUGCACUCAUCGUCCCAAUUUACAUCAGGUAAGUCCUACACAUAGAAACAUUGUAAACAAAAACUAUUAGAGGAUAAUAUGUAAUAUCACAAUAAAUGCAUUAAAAUGUAAACAUGACUACCUUCAGAUACCUCGCCUGUACUGUCUGGACAUUCUACCUGGUACUGGUUUAAAUCUGGGACACGAGUCUCCUCGGGCAUGGAG
rnacentral:lncRNA from 1 species